CGAGUCCGGCACGUGGACGUGGCUGCCCAUCAAGGCCGACUCCCGGUUACUCUGACGCCGUGCGGCAUCCCGCUGGCCGGGUAACCGCAUAGCCGACAGCCGUCGCACCUCAGGGAGCCCCUUCAUG
rnacentral:sRNA from 1 species